UCCGGUUGAUCCUGCCGGAGGUCACUGCUAUCGGUGUCCGAUUAAGCCAUGCGAGUCGUGAGGUGUGAGGCCUCGGCGUACUGCUCAGUAACACGUGGAUAACCUGCCCAAGAGUCCGGGAUAACCCCGGGAAACUGGGGAUAAUACCGGAUAGGCCACCUCUGCUGGAAUGCGGGGUGGUUUAAAGGCUACGCUUUUGGAUGGGUCUGCGGCGGAUUAGGUCGACGCCGGUGUAACGUACCGGCGUGCCUGUAAUCCGUACGGGUUGUGGGAGCAAGAGCCCGGAGAUGGAUUCUGAGACACGAAUCCAGGCCCUACGGGGCGCAGCAGGCGCGAAAACUCUACAAUGCAGGAAAUCUGCGAUAGGGGGACAUCGAGUGGCGUCUACAUUAGACGCCUGUCCAGCCGUCUAAAAAACGGUUGUUAGCAAGGGCCGGGUAAGACCGGUGCCAGCCGCCGCGGUAAUACCGGCGGCUCGAGUGGUGGCCGAUAUUAUUGAGUCUAAAGGGUCCGUAGCCGGCUUCGUAAGUCCCCUGGGAAAUCCAGCGGCUUAACCGUUGGGCGCUCAUGGGAUACUACGAGGCUUGGGACUGGGAGAGGCGAGAGGUACUCGAGGGGUAGGGGUGAAAUCCUGUAAUCCUUCGGGGACCACCGGUGGCGAAGGCGUCUCGCCAGAACAGGUCCGACGGUGAGGGACGAAAGCUAGGGGCACGAACCGGAUUAGAUACCCGGGUAGUCCUAGCCGUAAACGAUGCCCGCUAGGUGUCACGAUAGUCGUGAAUUAUCGUGGUGCCGUAGGGAAGCCGCGAAGCGGGCCACUUGGGAAGUACGACCGCAAGGUUGAAACUUAAAGGAAUUGGCGGGGGAGCACAAUCGUCGAACGGCAAGCG
rnacentral:rRNA from 1 species